GCUGGCGGCGUGCCUAAUACAUGCAAGUCGAGCGAGAAAGGGGAGACACUUCGGUAGAACCCUGAGUAAAGCGGCGGACGGGUGAGUAACACGUAGGUGACCUGCCCUGGAGAGGGGGACAAGCACUGGAAACGGUGUGUAAUACCCCAUAAGCUCACAGAAGUUAGGGAAGAUGUGAGAAAAGGAUAUAUUGCUUCAGGAGGGGCCUGCGGGCCAUCAGCUAGUUGGUAGGGUAAAGGCCUACCAAGGCGAAGACGGAUAGGGGGCCUGAGAGGGUGACCCCCCACACGGGAACUGAGACACGGUCCCGACUCCUACGGGAGGCAGCAGUAAGGAAUAUUGCACAAUGGGCGAAAGCCUGAUGCAGCAACGCCGCGUGUGUGAAGAAGGCUUUCGGGUUGUAAAGCACUUUUCUGGCA
rnacentral:rRNA from 1 species